rnacentral:rRNA from 1 species
GUACAUCCAGAGAACUUAGCAGAGAUGCUUUGGUGCCUUCGGGAACUCUGAGACAGGUGCUGCAUGGCUGUCGUCAGCUCGUGUUGUGAAAUGUUGGGUUAAGUCCCGNAACGAGCGCAACCCCUAUCCUUUGUUGCCAGCGAUUCGGUCGGGAACUCAAAGGAGACUGCCGGUGAUAAACCGGAGGAAGGUGGGGAUGACGUCAAGUCAUCAUGGCCCUUACGAGUAGGGCUACACACGUGCUACAAUGGCGCAUACAAAGAGAAGCGACCUCGCGAGAGCAAGCGGACCUCAUAAAGUGCGUCGUAGUCCGGAUUGGAGUCUGCAACUCGACUCCAUGAAGUCGGAAUCGCUAGUAAUCGUAGAUCAGAAUGCUACGGUGAAUACGUUCCCGGGCCUUGUACACACCGCCCGUCACACCAUGGGAGUGGGUUGCAAAAGAAGUAGAUAGCUUAACCUUCGGGAGGGCGUUUACCACUUUGUGAUUCAUGACUGGGGUGAAGUCGUAACAAGGUAAGCGUACGUGU